UUUAAGAUGGAUCCUCCUGUGAACUGUCUUCAUAAAAUAUCUUCUUAUUAAACGAGAUCUUAUCAUGCCUGAACUGCCAGUAACCCCCGAUUUCCUUUCGGCUUCAAAACAGAAGAGAGGGCAAAUGCACAAGUCACGCGUCUGAACCGGGGUCAGUGUUUAAAGCGCACAGACGGCCGUUUGUCUGUCUCACAUCCUCUGAUGUCCUGUCCUGUCCCGGGCCGGUGGACGGCGGGGGGGUCUGGAGGCGGCCCAGCGAGCUCCUUCACAUUUAUACAGCCCACCACACAAAGGAAAUGGUUUGGUGUUCCAGGAAGACGGAGGACUGGGGUCAGCAGGGUCAGCAGGUUGAGAUGGAGGUUUGGAGCCGCUGUGUGUGUAUUUCCUACGAUGAAGCACGGCUCCCCGCGUCAAUGUUUAACCAGACUCUCCAGCACAGAAGAACACAGAAACACUCGUUCACAGCCGCUUCACUACAGUUUACAGGAAUGAGUCUCACAGGCUGCUGUCAAAAGGGGCAGGUGUGGAUUUAGUCCAUCUGGAAUCGAUCGGAUCAUUCAUUGGUGGAUGUGAUGUGAGUGACAGCUUCUCCCACCAGUAAACACGUCAUCAGAGAAGAGAAGAGCUCUCUCGCUGAGGUUGAUCUGCAGUUGCCCUGCAGCUGUGACCCCCCCGUUUCCCAGCAUCCCCUUCUUCAAAGGCCACCAGAACUGUGACAGCUGGCAGAAGAUCUCCUCCUUUCAUUAGGAGCGCUCGCUGAGCCCUGUCGCUGAUCACGGGCAACUGGUGUGUGUUGACCUCGAGCCGCAGAGAGCAUACAAGAGCUUAAAAUUGAUUCACACUUAACUUAUGUUGGAGUUAACGUUUCAUGGGUUAAUGGCACGAUAAAUGGCCUGAUAUUUCAAGUUCAGCGCUGGAACAGAUGUGGUCUCAUGACCUUUGAUAAUAUAAGGGUUUUGUGCAUCGAUAUGAGGAAACCUUGAAUAUGCAAGUUCAAUAAAUAUAGUUUUAGUUCUCGGUUUCACACAUUGAAAAUGAAACAUGGGGGGAUUUUUCAAUUAAGCUUAAUAAAUGGAGCAAUUAAUUCAUUUUUGAGAGUGUUUAUAAUUAUAUUUUUUAUAUUCUGUAUUAUA